rnacentral:rRNA from 1 species
CAGCCGCCACGGUAAUACGGAGGGAGCUAGCGUUGUUCGGAAUUACUGGGCGUAAAGCGCACGUAGGCGGCUUUGUAAGUUAGAGGUGAAAGCCUGGAGCUCAACUCCAGAAUUGCCUUUAAGACUGCAUCGCUUGAAUCCGGGAGAGGUGAGUGGAAUUCCGAGUGUAGAGGUGAAAUUCGUAGAUAUUCGGAAGAACACCAGUGGCGAAGGCGGCUCACUGGACCGGCAUUGACGCUGAGGUGCGAAAGCGUGGGGAGCAAACAGGAUUAGAUACCCGAGUAGUCCCUGUCUCUUAUAC